UGGAGUUCUACAACUCUUAGUUGGACAGAUCUUUAAGUUCUUAAGCAAGAAUUGAAGUUACGGUUUGGCAGCGAUUUAACCUUGUGAGGGCAAAAGGGUACUUUCACUUGCUUGAAUGCUGUCAAAGCUCUUCUUUAAGCUCUAGUGACUUAUCUUAAGAUUAAAACACCAUUUAAUUAAUCUAGGUUGUUACAUUCUUAUCUAUUGGCCUUUUGCAUGUGUGAAGCAUAUUUGUUGGUUAAGAUUCAGUCUUGGUAUUUUGGUAUGAGUUGCUUCUAUUUGUCAACCUUGGGUAUUCGGGGAGCAAAGUCAAUAAUUGAGAUAGUAUUGGUAUUUAUGGUGUGAAAUGCUUUUGUUAUUGUAGCCUUGUGCAUUUGAGAAGCAUCU
rnacentral:lncRNA from 1 species